GUCUCUGUGGCGCAAUGGACAGCACGUUGGACUUCAAAUCCCAUAGUCGUGGGUUCGAAUCCCACCUGGGAUG